rnacentral:lncRNA from 10 species
AAAUACAAAAAGUAUCUAGGCAUGGUGGUGGGCAUCUGCAAUCCCAGCUACUCAGGAGGCUGAGGCAGGAGUACCACUUGAACCCUCUUGAACAUGGAAACCCAAAAGAAAUCUUAAAAACUGAGUUCCCAGCUAUGAUGGGAGGGGAUGUCGGCUAUGCCUCAGUAUGUCCCUUCCUUAUUAAUCUUUAACCAGAAUUAUCUCCAGUCCUAUCUCCUUUGAGACUGGAAUCUUCCCAUCCUUUGCAGGAGCUAAAGCCUCCCUGGGCAGAGAGCCCUUGUGUGCUGGAGGAAGAGGUGGAGGCUGCAGGUUCCUGAACGCCCCCUGAGGCUCCUCCUGGCCCCUCCAGACCCAGAGGACAGCCCUUCCAGGGUGGUUUCCUGGGGAGGCCCAUGGGAAUGACCUGCUGGGAAGGCCACUGCAGGAAUAAAGCUCACAGCACCAGUUUAAGGAGGCCUUUGUCUGGCUCCUACACUUGCCUACAGGUACCCCCUGAAAACACCUUAAAAGGCUGCUUUUUCUGCAUUUGCCUUAUGGCCACUUGAUUGAAGGCAGCCCCAGGUGGAGGGGAACCAAGAGGAUAUGGGUACAAGGGCAGAGUCAGAGAGUUGUGGAUGGAGCUGCCCAGCCGGCGGUUGGGGUGCAGAACUGAGGAGACAGGGAAGAGAGAGAUCUCAGGCUUAGGUGGCUGCCUGGGGUCUGUUUUUCCCACACAGAGCACCUGGCUGUUCAGCCAGCCCAGGUACCCAUUGCAGCUUAUAGGUCAACGGUCCUCAAGUGAAUGUGAUUGUGGCCCCCAGGAGACAUGUGGUCAUGUCCAGAGAUACUCUGGUUGUCAGGACUUGUGGGGAGGGGGUGAUUUUCCUACUAGCAUUUGAGGGAUUGAGGUAAAGGAUGCCGCUAAAUGUCAGACAAUUCACAGGACAGCUCCCACUAUGAAGAAUGAUCCGGUCCCAAAUGUCACGAGUGCUGAGAUUGAGAAACCCUGUUCUAGGUAUAUUUUGUCUCCACUGUUGUGUCCUUGCUAACCUGGUUGCAAGAGGUAGGAUGGAGCUGGAUGCAUUCCAGUGCUGUGAGAUGUUUGCUCUGCACCUGUGUGUGAGCCAUCCGCAGUGAUACCAGAGUAGGCAGAAUUCUGUCCACCUGUCAGAGGAGAUGGGGGACUGCAGCCUCGAGAGCUGUGGCUGCUCCAGCAAGCAGGAGGCAGGAUGGUGGAAUGUAGGGGUGAAGCAGGAGCUUGAGGAGAGGGGGAAGGUUGGAUCAGACUCUUGGUUGGAUCAGACACUGUGUUGUGUCAUUGCCAGGAAUACUAAGGUCCCUGCUAGGGUUGGAGACCAUGCAUCUAGAAUGGGGUCAGUGAGUGACAUCUGGUACAGAAUGAUACAAACAAACCAGCUCAGAAGACCAAAAUCAUCAUCAGUCAAUGACAAUGACUUUUACGAGGUGGACUCUCACAGUGCUCUGGUUACUCCUGUUUUU